CUGGAUAAAUGUGGAUCUCACCAACUGUGUUCCUCCUUUCAAAGUAACCCUGGGAAGCCAAAGAGGCCAUCUCUUGCUGUAUGGAUUGCUGUAUAGAUUACUUCCGAGGAAAACAAACGCUGAUGCUUCACUGCUAGCAAAUAGAAUAUCCUGGCUUAUAUCCUGAUACCAAGUGUGAUUGACUGCAGUCUUGUACGUCUGAAUAUGUAGCUGAGUCUAAGAAGCCCCUCGAUGGGUUUCGCAAAUCCACUCUGCAGCCAUUUCCUAAGAAAUGUCUCUUCCAGAGGCUUGUUGGGAGCCAGACAUGGACCCAUUUUCCUUCUUGUAGAACCCACAAAUCUCUCCCCUUCCUUGUCUAUAGGGAAUCUCUUCCUCUGAAUGUCUUAUUGAAGUCUUUUUGAUAAUCCCAUUUUCCCUCAUGCUCUUAACACGAUCUCUAUGGUGAGUAUAAGUCCUUCAAUAAGACUAGAGGAGCCAUUGCCUUCAAGUAUCUUUGCCUUCUGCCCUGCAAAAACUGCUGAGACAAGGAAAUACUAAAGUUACCUGUUGGGAAAGGUGGGCAGUGGGGAAUAGAAAAUAAAACUCAAGUUAAUACAUAGGAAACCAUGCCGUCACACUUGUUAAUAUUAAUAAUAAAAAUCCCUUACCUUUAUCCAGGGCUUGGUUCUUUGCAAAGUGUUUUCACAACCAGCC
rnacentral:lncRNA from 10 species